ACGGGGUGCAGCAGGCGCGAAACCUUUGCAAUGUGCGCAAGCACGACAAGGUUAAUCCGAGUGUUUCCUGCUUAAGGAAUCUUUUGCUAGUCCUAAAAACACUAGUGAAUAAGGGGUGGGCAAGUUCUGGUGUCAGCCGCCGCGGUAAAACCAGCACCUCAAGUGGUCAGGAGGAUUAUUGGGCCUAAAGCAUCCGUAGCUUGCUCUGUAAGUUUCCGGUUAAAUCCAUUAGCUCAACUAAUGGCCUGCCGGAAAUACUGCAGAACUAGGAAGUGGGAGAGGUAGACGGUACUCGGUAGGAAGGGGUAAAAUCCUUUGAUCUAUUGAUGACCACCUGUGGCGAAGGCGGUCUACCAGAACACGUUCGACAGUGAGGGAUGAAAGCUGGGGGAGCAAACCGGAUUAGAUACCCGGGUAGUCCCAGCCGUAAACGAUGCAGACUCGAUGAUGCACUGGCUUGUGGCCAGUGCAGUGUCGCAGGGAAGCCGUUAAGUUUGCCGCCUGGGAAGUACGUACGCAAGU
rnacentral:rRNA from 1 species